AAAGUUCCUUUCGGGGGGCGAGUAGAGUGGCGCACGGGUGAGUAACACGUAGGUAAUCUACCUUUGGAUGGGGAAUAACAACCGGAAACGGUUGCUAAUACCGCAUAAUGCAGCGGCACCUAAUGGUGACAGUUGUUAAAGCGGGGGAUCGAAAGACCUCGCGUCUGAAGAGGAGCCUGCGGCGGAUUAGCUAGUUGGUAAGGUAAUGGCUUACCAAGGCGAUGAUCCGUAACCGGCCUGAGAGGGCGGUCGGUCACACUGACACUGACAUACGGGUCAGACUCCUACGGGAGGCAGCAGUCGGGAAUUUUGGGCAAUGGGCGAAAGCCUGACCCAGCAACGCCGCGUGAAGGAUGAAAUCCCUCGGGAUGUAAACUUCGCAAGAACAGGAAGAAUAAGUAGGGGACAAUACCCCCUAUGAUGACGGUACUGUUUGUAAGCUCCGGCUAACUCCGUGCCAGCAGCCGCGGUAAUACGGGGGGAGCAAGCGUUGUUCGGAUUUACUGGGCGUAAAGGGCGCGUAGGCGGCCACCGCAAGUCGGUUGUGAAAUCUCCGGGCUUAACCCGGAAAGGUCAAUCGAUACUGCGGGGCUAGAGUGCAGAAGGGGCAACUGGAAUUCUCGGUGUAGCGGUGAAAUGCGUAGAUAUCGAGAGGAACACCUGCGGCGAAGGCGGGUUGCUGGGCUGACACUGACGCUGAAGCGCGAAAGCUAGGGGAGCGAACGGGAUUAGAUACCCCGGUAGUCCUAGCCUUAAACGAUGAAUGCUUGGUGUCUGGGGUUAUAUAGUCCCCGGGUGCCGUCGCUAACGCUUUAAGCAUUCCGCCUGGGGAGUACGGUCGCAAGACUG
rnacentral:rRNA from 1 species